rnacentral:misc_RNA from 1 species
AAUGAUUUGGGGUAGCUAAAUGUUAAAAUGUUGUCUAGUUUUAAGUCCAUAAAAAUUGUAACAAACUGUCAAUUGGCUCUGAGAUAACUGUUGAGGCAAAAUCUUAAUAUUAUACAUGCAGAGUUGUCAGAGAUGAACCAGGUGCUCACCCUAUGUGCUUGGGUGAUGCAAGGUGCUUGAGGCACCCACCCCGUUCACUUGAUGCUUAUUUGCUUAAUUUUGUUUCUUGUUACGGAAUUCACUUCUUAAUUAUAGACUUGAGAGGCAAAUGUGCCAAAGCUUGACAUACCAAUUAUAAAAU